rnacentral:rRNA from 1 species
AGUGAACGCUGGCGGUAGGCCUAACACAUGCAAGUCGAACGGCAGCACAGUAAGAGCUUGCUCUUACGGGUGGCGAGUGGCGGACGGGUGAGGAAUACAUCGGAAUCUACUUUUUCGUGGGGGAUAACGUAGGGAAACUUACGCUAAUACCGCAUACGCCCUACGGGUGAAAGCAGGGGAUCUUCGGACCUUGCGCGAUUGAAUGAGCCGAUGUCGGAUUAGCUAGUUGGCGGGGUAAAGGCCCACCAAGGCGACGAUACGUAGCUGGUCUGAGAGGAUGAUCAGCCACACUGGAACUGAGACACGGUCCAGAGUCCUACGGGAGGCAGCAGUGGGGAAUAUUGGACAAUGGGCGCAAGCCUGGUCCAGCCAUACCGCGUGGGUGAAGAAGGCCUUCGGGUUGUAAAGCCCUUUUGUUGGGAAAGAAAAGCAGCAGGUUAAUACCCCGCUGUUCUGACGGUACCCAAAGAAUAAGCACCGGCUAACUUCGUG